CUUACUAAAUCACUCGAAAUCAUUUCUUACCUCAUUUUUAUUUUAAAUAAUUUUCGAUUCUGCGUUAGAUUUUGACAAUAUGCCAUCAGGGGUAAAAUAGUCAUUUUCUAAAAGUAUAGACGGCCAAAGGAUUUGAGUCGACCGUAGUAAUUCUCUCAAUCAUUUUCUUAAAUCGUCAAUGCUUAAUCAUUUGCGUUUCCACAAGGGAAGUGUUUAUUUAAGAAACACUCUUUCCCACAGCCUCAAACCACAGAAAGCAAGAAAAAUGAAGUCCAUUGUUGUAAUAUGCUUCAUUCUGAGCUUAGUUGCAGGCAGGUCCACAGCCUCCUUUGGGAAGUGCUACGCCAAGUGCUUCAUUGUGUGUGCUAUCACACCAGGCGUCCCUAUUGGCACAUGCGGCGGAAAGUGCUUGGCCGAUUGCCUCUUCCUUGCCUCUGCCCCUAGAGAUCUCAACCGUUUGGACACUCAUUAUUUCUGCAAACUUGGCUGCGCCACUUCUCUCUGCACCAAAUUUAGCACCAAGACAGACCCGGCUGAGAAGAAAGUGGAAAGUUGUGUGAACUCGUGCUCUCGAACAUGUUUGAAGGCUUAAAACUGAGGAGCUGGGACUGGCUUUAAAGACAAUAAGUGUCGGUGGUGAAGACCAAACACCAUUGGACUCUAAGCUUGUCCCAUAUCUACUAAGCAUGUUUUGAUAUAUCUAUAUGCUUUCUAGUUUCUGCAUGUACUCGUCCUCGUCCUCGUCGUCACUGUGUAAUAAUCAAGGUUGCUUUUCGUUGCUAUAGUACUGGGAAUGAUGUUUGGUGAUA